rnacentral:rRNA from 1 species
CUAGUAACGGCGAGUGAAGCGGGAAGAGCUCAAAUUUGAAAUCUAAUGGCCUCAGGUCAUUCGAGUUGUAAUCUAUAGGAACGUUUUCCGUGCCGGCUCAUGUACAAGUCCCUUGGAACAGGGCGUCAUAGAGGGUGAGAAUCCCGUACUUGACAUGAACUACCGGUGCUCUGUGAUACGUCUCCAACGAGUCGAGUUGUUUGGGAAUGCAGCUCAAAAUGGGUGGUAAAUUCCAUCUAAAGCUAAAUAUUGGUGUGAGACCGAUAGCGAACAAGUACCGUGAGGGAAAGAUGAAAAGCACUUUGGAAAGAGAGUUAAAAAGUAUGUGAAAUUGUUGAAAGGGAAACGAUUGAAGUCAGUCAUGUCCUUCAGAUUCAGCUGGUUCUGCCGGUGUAUUUCUGUUGGAUGGGGUCAACAUCAGUUUUGGAUGCCGGAUAAAGGCAGGAGGAAGGUAGUACUCUCGGGUAAACUUAUAGCCUCCUGUUGCAUACGGUGACUGGGACUGAGGAACGCAGCUUGCCUUUAUGGCCGGGGUUCGCCCACGUACAAGCUUAGGAUGUUGACAUAAUGGCUUUAAACGACCCGUCUUGAAACACGGACCAAGGAGUCU